GGGUUUCUUGUGAACAGCCGUUGUCCAGAGUCAGUCGAUCCUAAGCCCGGGGAGAGAUCCUCGUACCACGGGCGAAGGCGUUUUCGAAUCGCCCUUGGGGCGAGAGGGAAUCCGGUUCGUAUUCCGGAACCCGACGCGGAACCGCUCCCUAGUGUUCGGGGCUCUUUUGUCUCGUCUGGGUAACCAGAAUGAACUCGAAGAAGCCGCCGGGGGAUCUGGGUAGAGUUCUCUUUUCUCUGUGAGCGUUGUACGUCCCUGGAAUCCUCUAGCCGGGCGAUAGGGACGCGAGCGCGAAGAGCACCGCUCGUUGCGGCGGUGUCCGUGAUCCCCACGCGGACCUUGAAAAUUCGAGAGAGGGCCACGCGGAGUCUUCGCGUCGGUUCGUACCGAUAUCCGCAGCAGGUCUCCGAGGUGAGCAGCCUCUAGCCGCAUAGAAUAAUGUAGGUAAGGGAAGUCGGCAAAACCGAUCCGUAACUUCGGGAUAAGGAUUGGCUCUGAGGAGCGUGGCUGCCGGGUUCGGGUCGUCGUAGAAGCGUAGGCGUUUUUGGCGACACCCCGGCCGUCGCCCGUGCGCCCGGUCUUCGGAACGGGAGCCUCGAGGCGGCCGCGGGCCCGUCGCCGUCCGCCGACCGUGGAACCACCGAGCUUCGGUCGCUGGCCGCGUCGCGGCCGGCCGACCGCCUUGGUGUCGGUUCGCCGUCACCGGGCGGUCCGGCCGCCGCGCCGUCGGUCGCGUAGCCGGAUCGACAGCCAUGUAACGGUCAACUCAGAACUGGCACGGACCAGGGGAAUCCGACUGUCUAAUUAAACAAAGCAUCGCCGAUGGCCCGGGACGGGUGUUGACGCGAUGUGAUUUCUGCCC
rnacentral:ncRNA from 1 species